UAUUCUGCCCUACGGGGAAGGAUGAGAAGCUUCGACUAAGGUUCGACUCGAGCGAAGCGAGAGAACGUUGCCGCAGGCAACGGCCCGAAGGGCGAGGCGCUUUAGCGCCGAGUAAUCCUUCCCCCACCACCA
rnacentral:sRNA from 2 species